AGCCUGACACCUGCCCGGUGCUGGAAGGUUAAGAGGAGAUGUCAUCGCAAGAGAAGCGUUGAAUUGAAGCCCCAGUAAACGGCGGCCGUAACUAUAACGGUCCUAAGGUAGCGAAAUUCCUUGUCGGGUAAGUUCCGACCUGCACGAAUGGUGUAAUGAUCUGGACACUGUCUCAACCGUGAGCUCGGUGAAAUUGUAGUAUCGGUGAAGAUGCCGAUUACCCGCGAUGGGACGAAAAGACCCCGUGAACCUUUACUAUAGCUUUACAUUGAAUUUGGGCAGACGAUGUGUAGGAUAGGCCGGAGGCUUUGAAGGGGGUACGCCAGUAUCCUUGGAGCCGCCGUUGAAAUACGGCCCUUCGGUUGUUUGAGUUCUAACUCCUAGGCAGGAGGACACUGUAUGGUGGGUAGUUUGACUGGGGUGGUCGCCUCCAAAAGCGUAACGGAGGCUUCUAAAGGUGCCCUCAGACCGAUUGGUAACCGGUCGUAGAGUGUAAUGGCAUAAGG
rnacentral:rRNA from 1 species